GAAGGCAGUAGCGUUUGUUGAUAAUCAGCCUUGCUUUUGCUUGGUGUACUGCUUGAUCGAUGGGUCAGUAUCAGUUUUGAUCGUUGGAUAAAGUUCGAGGGAAUGUGGCAUCUUCGGAUGUGUUAUAGCCUACGUUCGUAUACAAGCGGUUGGGACUGAGGAACUCAGCACGCCGAAAGGCCGGGUUUUUAACCACGUACGUGCUUAGGAUGCUGGCAUAAUGGCUUUAAUCGACCCGUCUUGAAACACGG
rnacentral:rRNA from 1 species